GAUGACAUGACCAGAGUUCAUGAUUAGCGCAACAUCUCUUGGAACCCACUUCAUUCUUGCAGUUGAAUUGUCCCGGGUCUCCAAUCUUUUGAACACAGAUAGCCUUAAUUCAGGAUUCAUAUCUGGCUCUGUAACUUGGCUUCUUGGCGGGACCAGUGUGUAGACGGUAGACCUUAUAGCUGAUUAAAGAAUGGAUUCUGAGUCUGCUGGCUUAUCAUCUCAACCUCCCGCUCAAGCUUCUUCCAUUGAACCUCCUGCCAAAGCUUCUAAUAAUGAUUCCCCUGCCAAAGAUUCUAAUAAUGAUUGCCCUGCCAAAGCUUCCAAUGCUGAGCCUUCUGCAAACACUGCCAUUAGUAAUGACGGUAAAGUGGGUGAAUCACCUGCUUCAGGCAUACCAUAUCAGAGUAGAAGUUUGAAACUGCCACAGCCAACACGACCUCCAACAGAUUCCGAGACUGGAACUUUUGGGAAUUCUACAUUUGCUCGUUUCACUAGGGGCCUAGGAUUGCAUUUUCCUUCAGUGACACCAGGAACGAAUGAGAUGUCUCAAGGUAGCACGACAUCUGAACAAGCUGGUGUUCUUGAAUCUUUCACUAAAGGUUUGGUUGAUUCAUCUCGAAGUGCUGUGAAGGCUAUGCAGGUCAAGGCACGUCAUGUUGUAUCUCAAAAUAAGCGUAGAUACCAGGAAGAUGGGUUUGAUUUGGAUAUGGCUUAUGUCACUGAAAAUAUAAUUGCUAUGGGUUUCCCUGCUGGUGAUUUAAGCUCAGGGCUGUUUGGAUUCUUUGAGGGUUUCUAUCGUAAUCACAUGGAAGAAGUGAUAAAUUUCUUUGAGACUCAUCAUAAGGUAAUAUCUAUUUAUAUGUCUAUUUAUAUAUUAAUGAAAAUCUAUAUUGAAUUUACAGGCUAGAAAAAUGAAUCAGUUAUAUCAGCUGAAGGGAAUGCAGUAACUCUUCAUGGGAGAUUAAAAAAUUUUUUUCUCUGAUUUCCAUAAAAAGUUUAUAGUAGGUACUUUAAUUAGUGUAGGAGUUAAUGUGGCGACUUGAAGUUUGAAUUUAUCUUAAAAGGAUUGUUAAGUCAAUGAUGAUGAAGUCUCUCAGAAAUAAUUUGAACUAGUUUGAGCGUUUGUUUGUAUGAAAGGGGACAAACCAAAUACAGAAGAAUAAAAUAAUGUCAAAUAAUAUGGCAUAAUUUGGGAACAAUGCUAAUAAUACAAGAAUAAGCUGAAUUUUUGUGCAUUGAAAUAAUGAUUGAAUUAUGUACCAGAGGGAAAAAAAGUGCAUAUAUAAUCCUGACUCUUUCCACUAAGUUAAGGAACUUUAAUGAUAAUGCUUAUCACUUCAUAUGACUUUGCUUGCUUAGGUAUGACUUAUUCAAGACCAAAAUGAGUAUUUUGUAUCCCUAGGCUAAGGAACU
rnacentral:misc_RNA from 1 species